UACAGAGGGUGCGAGCGUUAAUCGGAAUUACUGGGCGUAAAGGGCGCGUAGGCGGAUAGAUGGGUGUGAUGUGAAAGCCCUGGGCUUAACCUGGGAAGUGCAUCGCAAACUGUAUAUCUGGAGUUGAUGAGAGGGUGGCGGAAUUUCCGGUGUAGCGGUGAAAUGCGUAGAGAUCGGAAGGAACGUCGAUGGCGAAGGCAGCCACCUGGCAUCAAACUGACGCUGAGGCGCGAAAGCGUGGGGAGCGAACAGG
rnacentral:rRNA from 1 species